AUUGAACGCUGGCGGCAUGCCUUACACAUGCAAGUCGAACGGCAGCGCGGACUUCGGUCUGGCGGCGAGUGGCGAACGGGUGAGUAAUACAUCGGAACGUACCCUGUUGUGGGGGAUAACUAGUCGAAAGAUUAGCUAAUACCGCAUACGACCUGAGGGUGAAAGUGGGGGACCGCAAGGCCUCACGCAGCAGGAGCGGCCGAUGUCUGAUUAGCUAGUUGGUGGGGUAAAGGCCCACCAAGGCGACGAUCAGUAGCUAGUCUGAGAGGACGAUCAGCCACACUGGGAGUGAGACACGGCCCAGACUCCUACGGGAGGCAGCAGUGGGGAAUUUUGGACAAUGGGGGCAACCCUGAUCCAGCAAUGCCGCGUGUGUGAAGAAGGCCUUCGGGUUGUAAAGCACUUUUGUCCGGAAAGAAAUCGCGCUGGUUAAUACCUGGCGUGGAUGACGGUACCGGAAGAAUAAGCACCGGCUAACUACGUG
rnacentral:rRNA from 1 species